GUAUCUUUUCCCCAGUAUCUCUGGUGUUGGGGGAGAUUUGGGGCAUCUCGCUCGAGUGCCCUUAAAGCUAUAGCUUGACACUGAUCGAGUGCUAGAGCGUAUGUAUUUGAAGCUCUCUGAGUACCUGUACGAAACUCUGGCGCAAGCUCGCUCUGGGCCAAGUCCACCACGGAGGUUUGAAAAAGAACCCGAA
rnacentral:misc_RNA from 1 species